rnacentral:hammerhead_ribozyme from 1 species
GCACAGCUUAGGAGUCCCAUAAUAGGACGAAACGAUCGUCCCGUGU